rnacentral:rRNA from 1 species
AGGUCACUGCUAUCGGGGUUCGAUUUAGCCAUGCGAGUCGAGAGGGUUCGGCCCUCGGCGUACUGCUCAGUAACACGUGGAUAACCUGCCCUAGGGAAGGGGAUAACCCCGGGAAACUGGGGAUAAUACCCUAUAGAUUACAGAUGCUGGAAUGCCCUGUAAUCCAAAGUUCCGACGCCCUAGGAUGGAUCUGCGGCCGAUUAGGUUGUUGUUGGGGUAAUGGCCCAACAAGCCCGUAAUCGGUACGGGUUGUGGGAGCAAGAGCCCGGAGUUGGAUUCUGAGACACGAAUCCAGGCCCUACGGGGCGCAGCAGGCGCGAAAACUUUACAAUGCGGGCAACCGUGAUAAGGGAACCUCGAGUGCCUGUAAAUGCAGGCUGUUCAGGUGCCUAAAACACACCUGAAGAAAGGGCCGGGCAAGACCGGUGCCAGCCGCCGCGGUAAUACCGGCGGCUCGAGUGGUGGCCGCUUUUAUUGGGCUUAAAGCGUUCGUAGCUGGGUUGUUAAGUCUCUUGGGAAAUCUGGCGGCUUAACCGUCAGGCGUCUAAGGGAUACUGGCAAUCUUGGAACCGGGAGAGGUGAGGGGUACUUCGGGGGUAGGAGUGAAAUCCUGUAAUCCUCGAGGGACCACCUGUGGCGAAAGCGCCUCACCAGAACGGCUUC